rnacentral:tRNA from 1 species
AUUAGGGUUCCCGAGCGGCCAAAGGGAGCAGACUGUAAAUCUGCCGUCAUCGACUUCGAAGGUUCGAAUCCUUCCCCCACCACCA